CCUCUCUCAGGGUCGCCCCUGGAGAGUUUCCAGUACUCUACCAGUCUUGGCUAGGGGAGGGCAAGUCAAGCAGAGGCCUACCCAUUCCAUUCCUAGCUUGCGCCGUGGCUAGCUAGGGGAAGGCAAUCUGCUACAAGU